rnacentral:rRNA from 1 species
UACAGAGGGGGCAAGCGUUAUUCGGAAUUAUUGGGCGUAAAGGGCGCGUAGGCGGCUUGGCAAGUGGAAGGUGAAAUCCCUCGGCUUAACCGAGGAACUGCCCUCCAAACUGCUUAGCUUGAGACCGGGAGAGGUGAGUGGAAUCCCCAGUGUAGCGGUGAAAUGCGUAGAUAUUGGGAGGAACACCAGUGGCGAAGGCGGCUCACUGGACCGGUACUGACGCUGAUGCGCGAAAGCGUGGGGAGCAAACGGG